rnacentral:lncRNA from 1 species
GUAUUUGGCAACGGGUGUUUGGCAAAACUGAUAAUUGAUGGACAUUCUUUACCCAUUUAAAAAGUAAAAAAACCGAUCUUGAGUAUAUGUUGAGAAAUACAUGCCCAAAAAAAUGGCUUCAUGGAUCAUUAAAAAAAUGAUGUUACAGGUGAAAAACACCAUAGCAUUGCAUACCUUUGUCUUCAAUCAGAUUAGUUCUCAUACAAUAUCAGCCAACAGAUUAAACAAAUUUUUCAUGGAAAGUAUUCAAGAACAACUAUCUACUAUCAACAAAAUAGCAUGAAAAACAAGAAGUUGUAAUGGACACAGGCGCCAAAUUAGAGGCAUCCUGUCCCUCGAACGCAUGGCUAAUAUCCAGCAGAAAUCCAUCUCUUGCAGCUCAUCUACAGUAAACGAUAAUUUGUUCAACAUCAGCAAGGAAAAAUGAGCUCCGUAGGGUCACCAGAAUCACUGAGACUCCUAUCCUUCACCUUAGUUUCAUCUGCUUACACUGAUGGGCCAGACUUCAUUGCCGUCCAGUCCCUGUGAAGAAUCGAGACAGAGGAUGAUUGAGAUCAAUAAAAAAGAAGAAAAAGAAAUUGUUAUUAGAAUCUUGAUCUUGACUUUGUUAUGCUAAUAUAUAUUUAUACACAGGGGGACAUUGUGCCAUUGGAUCAGUCCAGCUGACUCGAACUGAUCUUGACCAUAUGAUCCUUGUCUUUCUAUUGGUAAGUUGCCCUGCCGUAAUGGUUGGCCAGUGGUUACAGUGGGCACGAGAUGCAGUUGACCAUUCUCCACAAUCAGCUCUUCUCAACUCUACAUCACUAAGAACUUCCCCCCUUGGGGAUUCUUAUAACUCUCUAUUGUACCUCCGGGUAAUCUCCAAUUGCUUGUUUGGAGCUGAUCCUGUUUGGAUGUGAGUGAAGGACGGCCACCUUGUAGUGUGCUCAGAUUUGCUCAUAGCUUGCAGUUCCUUCAACACAGAGAACAUCGCAGUAGGUUUCCUGUGUACGCUGCUCGGCAAGGUGUAGUAUAGUGUGAUCACCACUGUCAAUAAAUCUUUACAUCAACAAUGGUGGUAGGGGGCAUGGACACUUCUUUGUUAGACGGUCAAUGUACAAGCAAAAGAGAAUCUCAUCAUGAAAUUGGCUUAAAUGAGAGGAUAUUUUAAAUGGCAAAGGAAAAUUUAACUAAAACUGAAUUCAUGAUAAAUGAAGGGCAAGAGGAAAAUAGGAGGAUGGCAAUAGCAGAAGCCUAACACGUCUAUCAAUGCAAUUUGGUGAACUGAUGCCCAGUGAUUUCAGCAAUCUUUUGUAUGACGACCAAAUAAAAACUCAAGAAAUUGAUCUUGGAAUAGUUUUCUGGGUUAGGAUUUUAAAAGAAAUACAGAUAGGCCACGAAAAUUUCAAAGGCCGUGGACCAUACAGAAACCAGCGACCAUUUAUGCCAAUGGAGGGCCAUCUAAGGAAUUGAAGAACUUCACACGAUGAAAUUGUUCAAUAAAAGCUUACAAUGCACGCACAGGCUGAGGAGAAUUACACCUUGCAAUGUCAUCAGAGAGGAGAAGUGAAACAAGCUUUCUAUUAGUCCACCUAUGCCAUCAAUAUGCCGAACAAUGAACAACUAUGGCCAAGAAUCUAAGCUUUUGAGUUUAAGAAAAGCUAAAACGUUUUACUCAAUGAACUGAAUGUCUCAUAUUGCAACAAGAUAGGAUGCCGAACAACACCACUUUGUCCUAAUUCCGCCAAGAUAAAAGAUUACAUUGCCAGCUCCUCGAAACCACAAUGAAAAAGUUACUUCCCCAAUAGAAAGUAGAAACAGGCCUUGACAGAGAUCAUUGUCGUAUGACACGCUCACGAAACUAGGAAAUGUAGACCAAAGAGGCCGGGGUCUACAGGCAACGAAGGAACUAAGAGUUGGCCAGGCGGCUUGAUGCAAGACGUGAUGAUGUAAAUACUAACUUGCCCUAAUUAACUAAUUAAGAAGGUUUAUUAAGGUAAGAUCAAGUGAAAUCUUGCAAGAUUGAAAUCAAAUGGAUCGUCACGAUUAAGAAAUCGUUAAUGAUUAGAGUGUUCCACAAUCAAUAAGUUGACUAGUUGCAAAUCAAGUAGGUUAUCACUCCUCACUAACCACCAACUGUGAGAAUAAGUGGGCAUAACUAUGGAUCACACAAUGACCAUGUAGCACGACAAUAUAUUAAGUGAACAAAUUAUGCUAUUUAUGGAAAUGAAAGGUUUAGACAUAACCUUGUCACCAGGUUAGGUGACUGAUUAGAAGAGGGGUGUAGGUUGAAGCUGGGUCCCACUUGUUGAUCGUUGGUCUCCUAGUUGACCGUUGACAUAUGUUGACUGUUCUAUCUAUAUUGACCGUUGACCAAGUCAACAGUUGACUCGCGCGAACCGGUUCCGGCUGCGCAGGUGCGGGCGGCUGGCAAAGACGGAGGCGGACCGGUCUGGUCCAGCGGUUCAGGCUGACACGAAUUAGGGCUUUUAUACCCUAAUUGUUGGACGGGUAAAUGGGGGGCACGAUCAUGUGGGCUGUGGGAGGCGAGAGCGGCGGAAGGGGUGGGGCCGUAACGAUGGAGGAGGCGGCGGCCGCGGCGGACGGGGUGGCGGCAGGGGCGAGGGAGGAGGCGGCGGCAGCGGGGGACCAUAUGGAGACAGGGACGACGGAGGAGGCGGUGGCAGCGGGGGAGGGGAUGGAGGCAGAGACGACGGAGGAGGCGGCGGAAGCAACUGGUGACGGGGGAGGAUGGCGGACGGUGAAAGAUGGAAAAUUGAGAUAGCUGCAAUGGUGGCGGCAGAUAGCGACGAUGGUUGGCAGCGGAGAGCGAUGACGAGCGACGCCAUCGGUGGCGACGGCUGUGGUACCUGCGGCAGUCGCCAAUUGGCCCGGAACCCCAAAAUAAACCUUACUGUGGUCCCAAAGCAAACCGACCCAAAACCAGAAACAAAGAAUCAUGCAUAGAGGAAUUAUCGAAGCAGCACCAUGGGAAAAAAAUACACGAACAAACCAUUUCACGCCGACAUCCAACCCAUCUUCUCCUCCGUUUCGGUCAGCGGGAGGGGGGGGGGGCGGAGCGAUCGAGCGAAGGAGCGAGAGAGAGGGCGAGAGAUCGAGCGAACGAGUGAGAGAGCGAGAGAGAGAGAGGCAAAGGCACAUGGU